rnacentral:rRNA from 1 species
UGAGUAGGUGGUCAUUAAAGUCAGAUGUAAAAGGCAAUGGCUCAACCAUUGUAAGCAUAUGAAACUUAAUGACUUGAGUGCAGGAGAGGUAAAUGGAAUUCCUAGUGUAGCGGUGAAAUGCGUAGAUAUUAGGAAGAACACCAGUGGCGAAGGCGAUUUACUGGACUGCAACUGACACUGAGUCACGAAAGCGUGGGGAGCAAACAGGAUUAGAUACCCUGGUAGUCC